UUAUAUCCUGUUUCGAUUCUGAAGAUGUUUUAGGUCGAAGCUCCUCCCACCGUUGCGGUCGGGAACGAACCCAAGGCGGUUGUUCCUUUAACAUUGCUACCACUUCGGAUUCUUUCUCAUCAAUUCCUUCAGUAUCCUCAACAAUAGAUAAACUCAAAACUCUCUCCAAAGGAAGCUUGGGUGUUGUAAUCUGCAUAGAUUGAGC
rnacentral:lncRNA from 1 species